rnacentral:rRNA from 1 species
AUGGCGGAGUCAGCUGUCGUUCAUGGGUUCCUAUCCCACGCCACGUUGCCUCCACUCUCCUCUCCUCUACAUAUACAGCGCCACCCUCCCUCUUCCCUCUCUACAUCUCCCUCCUCGCUCGUAGUAACUCGAGUCCUGCUCCCUGCACGGUCCUCCCAUUACCACGAGCGAGCGCGUGUCAUCUCAUACGGGCGCGCGGGGGUACGUGGUGCUCUCUGCGCGCGCAUGGCGGCGAGCGAGCAGAGCUCCGAGUCCUCGUCCACGUCCUACGCUUCCUCCUACUCCACGUCCUCGUGCUCGCCCAGGGCCGACGCCAAGAAGCGGCAGGACGGCGGCAACAAGCGGAAGCGCGCGGCGGCGGCGGGCGAGGAGGAGGAGGAGGCGGCCCCGGCGGCGGCGGCGGCGUCGUCGUCGUACCGCGGCGUGCGGAUGCGGGCGUGGGGCAAGUGGGUGUCGGAGAUCAGGGAGCCGCGCAAGAAGUCCCGCAUCUGGCUCGGCACCUUCCCGUGCCCGGAGAUGGCCGCGCGCGCCCACGACGCCGCCGCGCUCAGCAUCAAGGGCGCCCGCGCCGUGCUCAACUUCCCGGACCUCGCGCCCGCGCUGCCCCGCCCGGCCUCCCUCGCCCCGUGCGACGUCCAGGCCGCCGCCGCGCGCGCCGCCCUCAUGCACGACCACGACCACCAGUGCUGCUCCGCCUCAACCUCAACCUCCCCCACCGCGGCGCCGGCCUCCGCGUGCGGCAAUGCGCCGGCGCCAAGCGACCAGCCGGCCGCGCGGGACGAGCCGGAGCAUGAGCCGGAGCCGUUCCAGCCGAGCCAGGGAAGCGAGCAGCAGCUCACGGCCGCGCAGGUGGAGAUGGUGUUCGACGAGCUGGCGCCGCUGUGGGUGGAGGACGUGGUGGACUUCGCGCCGUCCGAUCACUGCUGGACGGCGUACGAUUGUCUCGACCCCCUCGGCUACCAACCUCUCCUGUGGGAGUAUUAA